rfam:Kutzneria albida DSM 43870, complete genome.
CUUGAUCGAGCCCAGCCACAGCGGGCGCUCGCGGUCCUGGCCGUAGGUGUUGAGCAGGGCCUGGGCCUC